CCUACGGGUGGCUGCAGUGAGGAAUUUUCCGCAAUGGGCUAACGCCUGACGGAGCAAUGUCGCGUGGAGGAUGAAGGCUCGUGGGUUGUAAACUCCUUUUCUUAGAGAAGAAUAAAUGACGGUAUCUAAGGAAUAAGCAUCGGCUAACUCCGUGCCAGCAGCCGCGGUAAUACGGGGGAUGCAAGCGUUAUCCGGAAUGAUUGGGCGUAAAGGGUGUUGAGGUGGCUAGCCAAGUCUCCUGUAAAAUAUCAGGGCUUAACCCUGAAGAAGCGGUG
rnacentral:rRNA from 1 species